UUCUCGCGAAUCUUUCUCUCUUUACUCUCGACGGGGUGAUAGUAAUCCUAAAUUUCAAUUUCAGUAACCAUAAAUUCAAAAUUAGCUCUUGGAAUUUAGAAUACUGGCCAUUGUUGAUCGAUGCGUAGGUCAAGGAUCUUCAAUUUGAUCCAAUAUGAGUUUCAAUUUGUUCAAUUUCUAUGCUGAGCGGCUUGUGUCUGAUGCUUCUGAGAAGAAACACUCCAAAUCUUGCAUUGCUCAAGCCAUAUCAGCAUCUCGGUUGAGGGUACAUGUUGUUUGAUAUUAAUCUUCUCAAAGCAAGGCUUGGUCAAGGAAAAUACAAAGUUCUCUAAAACAAAACGAGGAAGGCCUUGCUAUGUCUUCCACGCCAUAAGCACAUUAAGUUCAUAUCACAGACUGCUAUCCUUGAGUUAAAAUGUUGAGUUGCGGAUAGAGGGAGAUCACUAUUUGAAGGCGUUCUUAGGGAAUACCCGAAAAGAACAGACUUGUGGAGUGUAUAUCUGGACCAUGAGAUCCGGCUGGGAGAAGUGGAUGUAAUUAGAUCUUUAUUCGAGAGAGCCAUUAGCUUGAGCUUGCCUCCUAAGAAGAUGAAGUUCUUGUUCAGAAAGUACUUGGGAUAUGAGAAAUCUGUUUGUGACGAGGAGAGAGUCGAAUACGUGAAACAGAGGGCGAUGGAAUAUGCAGACAAUACCUUGACCUGAGAUUUUGUUGUAACAAAUUCCCAAUUUUUGUAAAAAUUCUAAAAUUUUGAGAAGCAACUAUUUGAGCAAGGCUGUCUAAAAUUUUAAAAAUAUUAUUUUAGUGAAGGAAUGAUUUGGGGUUCUCUA